rnacentral:sRNA from 1 species
AUCAGUUGGAUUUGCUGGCCUUCAC